rnacentral:rRNA from 1 species
GACGAACGCUGGCGGCGUGCCUAAUACAUGCAAGUAGAACGCUGAAGAGAGGAGCUUGCUCUUCUUGGAUGAGUUGCGAACGGGUGAGUAACGCGUAGGUAACCUGCCUGGUAGCGGGGGAUAACUAUUGGAAACGAUAGCUAAUACCGCAUAAAAUGGAUUAUCGCAUGAUAAUCCAUUGAAAGGUGCAAAUGCAUCACUACCAGAUGGACCUGCGUUGUAUUAGCUAGUUGGUGGGGUAACGGCUCAUCAAGGCGACGAUACAUAGCCGACCUGAGAGGGUGAUCGGCCACACUGGGACUGAGACACGGCCCAGACUCCUACGGGAGGCAGCAGUAGGGAAUCUUCGGCAAUGGACGGAAGUCUGACCGAGCAACGCCGCGUGAGUGAAGAAGGUUGUCGGAUCGUAAAGCUCUGUUGUAAGAGAAGAACGAGUGUGAGAGUGGAAAGUUCACACUGUGACGGUAUCUUACCAGAAAGGGACGGCUAACUACGUG